GAUGAACGCUGGCGGCGUGCCUAAUACAUGCAAGUCGAGCGAACAGACGAGGAGCUUGCUCCUUUGACGUUAGCGGCGGACGGGUGAGUAACACGUGGGUAACCUACCUAUAAGACUGGGAUAACUUCGGGAAACCGGAGCUAAUACCGGAUAAUAUUUCGAACUGCAUGGUUCGAUAGUGAAAGAUGGCUUUGCUAUCACUUAUAGAUGGACCUGCGCCGUAUUAGCUAGUUGGUAAGGUAACGGCUUACCAAGGCAACGAUACGUAGCCGACCUGAGAGGUGAUCGGCCACACUGGAACUGAGACACGGUCCAGACUCCUACGGAGGCAGCAGUAGGGAAUCUUCCGCAAUGGGCGAAAGCCUGACGGAGCAACGCCGCGUGAGUGAUGAAGGUCUUCGGAUACGUAAAACUCUGUUAUUAGGAAGAACAAACGUGUAAGUAACUGU
rnacentral:rRNA from 1 species